rfam:Aedes albopictus isolate Foshan contig6933, whole genome shotgun sequence.
UGUUCUGUGGCUUAGUUGGUUAAAGCGCCGGUCUAGCGAAUACGGAGUCGUGGGUUCGAAUCCCAUCAGAACGC